ensembl:lncRNA
GUGAGUAUCAGCACUCACAGCUCCCCCACCACUAGCAGACCACACCCCUGGUGGGGGAGGUGGCGGGGCUCUGAGACUCACUGCUCUCCCUAGGGCUCCUCCUGGCACACCAGACCCUCCUUCCUUUACUAUUCGUGGGCCCACGGGGAGCUGAGUAACAGAGAGAAGACAGAAAUCAGCCUAGCUGCUCACUGAAGAUCAGGAAAUGCUGUUGACAUCAUGACAUCUGCCAGCACCUUGGGGAAAGGAUAUAACCCCUUCUCAAUGCUAUUUCAAAGGACUUCAUUUGAACAAGGCUAUGGAUUAGUCAAAACCCCUUCUCCCUUGGUGGCAUUUUAUCACUGCCAUUCACUUCAGUCGUGCCAUCACUAUAGCAAUCAGCACCCCACAACAAGCCAGGGCCACUGGGAGAGAUGAGAGAAGCCAGCCCAGUGUAGCCUUCAGUGUAACUUCAGGAUUGUUCUUUCAUCUUCCCGGAAGUUUAAGCAUCCUAUAAUAUUCACCAC